UACAGAGGGGGCAAGCGUUAUUCGGAAUUAUUGGGCGUAAAGCGCGCGCAGGCGGUCCUUUAAGUCUGAUGUGAAAGCCCACGGCUCAACCGUGGAGGGUCAUUGGAAACUGGGGGACUUGAGUGCAGAAGAGGAAAGUGGAAUUCCACGUGUAGCGGUGAAAUGCGUAGAGAUGUGGAGGAACACCAGUGGCGAAGGCGACUUUCUGGUCUGUAACUGACGCUGAGGCGCGAAAGCGUGGGGAGCAAACAGG
rnacentral:rRNA from 1 species